GGGGCCUUAGCUCAGUUGGGAGAGCGCCUGCCUUGCACGCAGGAGGUCAGGGGUUCGAGCCCCCUAGGCUCCACCA
rnacentral:tRNA from 2 species